rnacentral:tRNA from 1 species
UCCCUGGUGGCUCAGACGGUAAAGCGUCUGCCUGCAGUGCAGGAGACCCUGAUUCGAUCCCUGGGUUGGGAA